AAGGGAACCUCUUUCACACUAAUCUCUUGUAGGUCAUUUUGUCCUGGGCUCCUGCUCCUCCUACUUUCCCUGAUCUAGUACCUGAUAACAAAAACUUCUACAAUGAAGUGCCAAGGACACCACCUCCCUUGGAAAUUGCUCCUGCCCCUUUGAGAAGAUAGCUUUGCUGUGUCGGAACAUUUCAGUGGUAGGAGAACAGAAUCCUCGGUGAAAACAUCGCUGGUUUUCCAUCAUUUCAUUAGAAAUGAAACACUUGUUGCAGCAAGAAAUACAAUCCUCAGGGACAAAUUACAAAGGCAGAAAAGAGACCUUUUUAAUGACUUUCUGUUAACAGACUUCCCAAAGCAGGCAGAAAAGGCCCCUUUUCAUCCAAGGCGGUUUCUCACCCGGUGUGGGCAGCUUCUAAAGCUGCUGUUAUAGGAUACGUGCACCUGAAGAAUGAGUGGGGGAAAGGCAGCAGCAGAUGGGAGAGGAAAAAGCACAGGGGGAAAAAAAAAGGUAACAGAGAGAGGAAGAGGGAAAAGGGGAAAAAAAAAAGAGCAGGGAAGGCAAAAAGAGCUACAAAUUUAAAAAAGAAAAAAAGAAAAGCUAAAGAAUAAACUAGGAAAAAGAGAAUACAGAGAGCUC
ensembl:lncRNA